rnacentral:rRNA from 1 species
GUGGGGAAUAUUGGACAAUGGGCGAAAGCCUGAUCCAGCAAUGCCGCGUGAGUGAUGAAGGCCUUAGGGUUGUAAAGCUCUUUCGGCGGGGACGAUAAUGACGGUACCCGCAGAAGAAGCCCCGGCUAACUUCGUGCCAGCAGCCGCGGUAAUACGAAGGGGGCUAGCGUUGUUCGGAAUUACUGGGCGUAAAGGGCGCGUAGGCGGUUCGUUUAGUCAGGCGUGAAAGCCCCAGGCUCAACCUGGGAAUUGCGCUUGAUACUGGCGAGCUCGAGUCCGGGAGAGGAUGGCGGAAUUCCCAGUGUAGAGGUGAAAUUCGUAGAUAUUGGGAAGAACACCGGUGGCGAAGGCGGCCAUCUGGACCGGUACUGACGCUGAGGCGCGAAAGCGUGGGGAGCAAACAGGAUUAGAAACCCGAGUAGUCC